rnacentral:rRNA from 1 species
CCUACGGGUGGCAGCAGUAGGGAAUCUUUCACAAUGGGCGAAAGCCUGAUGGAGCAACGCCGCGUGCAGGAUGAAGGCCUUCGGGUUGUAAACUGCUUUUAUAAGAGAGAAAUAUGAUGUUAACUUAUGAAUAAGGAUCGGCGAAAUACGUGCCAGCAGCCGCGGUCAUACGUAGGAUCCGAGCAUUAUCCGGGGAGACUGGGGGUAAAGAGUUGCGUAGGUGGCAUAAGAAGUAGCUAGUGAAAUCUGGUGGCUCAACCAUUCAGACUAUUAGCUAAACUGUUAAGCUCGAGACCGUUAGGGGUAACUGGAAUUUCUAGUGUAGGAGUGAAAUCCGUAGAUAUUAGGAGGAACACCAAUAGCGUAGGCAGGUUGCUGGGACGGUUCUGACACUGAGGCACGAAAGCGUAGGGAGCAAACGGGAUUAGAUACCCGUGUAGUC